CCUGGCCCCCACGGCUGCCCUUCCCCGUCCUGCUGCUUCUCCGGGGACCUGGGAGCCCUCGUGCCGGCCCCAAGGCGACGGGUCCGUGUGUGGGUAUUGCAGAGGGACGGGCACCCGUGUCAGGUUCGGUUGGGCUCGUGGCUCUCCACGCUCCACGAUGCCCAGGAAAGCAGGGACGGAGUGGAGGGGGGUCCUGGGGGACGGGGCAGUGUGGUGGACGGGGCAGUGUGGUGGAAGCUUCCCGGGGCCUCUGGCAGCCUGGUCCGGCUCGGGGACGCGCCCGCUGAGGGGCAGAGGUCCCCCGGGGGCAGGGGACGUGGGGUGUCAGGGAAGCUGAGGCCUGGCCCCGGAGGCAAUGCAGGAGGACGAGGAACAGUGGGUCUGUCCGGCCGUGGGCUGGUCCCGGGACCAGCGGGGAGAAAGUCCACGUGCAGGGCAGAGGUUCUGCUUCCACCGAGACUCCCAGGGCCCAGCCCGGCUGCGGCAGGCCCAAGCUCUGCUGUGCUCCUUCGGUGCGCCGGGCCGGAGGGGUUCUGGCCUCUCCGGGACCUCAGCAAGGACUCUGCACGGGGCGCCCACCGAGGGCUGGAGGUGCUGCUGCCCACGAGCCCCCGGGCCUCAUGCCUGGUGCCUGGGCCCCCGGCCCCCAUCCCCUGGUCCCCCACCCCUUGCCCCUGGUGCUCAUGCCCCACCCCAGGCCCCCAGCCCCCGGCCCUCUGCCCCUCACCACUCACCCCUCACUGCCCCCCUUCCGCCCCAGCCCCCUGUCCCCUGCCCCCAGUCCUCAUGCUGGGUCCCUGGUUCCCUGACCCAGCCCUGCACCCCACGGACCCCGCCCCCAUCCCUCGAUCCUCAUAUCCAACCCCCCACCUUGGAUCCCACCCCCUGCACCCAGAAGGGGCUCAGACCCCUGCAGGGACAGCUGGUGUCCCAAGUGGAGACAGUGCCUGGGCCCAGCACACCCAGGAGCUAGAAGGUGGUGAGUGUGGGGCACUCGUGGGCUCUGGGGGGACAGGGGGCAGGAGGGGGGGGCUGGCCCAGGUGUUGCAGGCCUUGGGCUGCCACAUGGGAGGGCUGGCAUUCACCGCGUGGGGACGUCCAGGAGGACACGCUUGGGGGCUCCUGCCCUGUAACCACCCCCUGCCCCAGGAGUGGAUGCUUCCCCUCCAGGCCACCCCACAGCCUCCUCAAGGACACAGCAUCCUCUCAGGACGGGGGUUGGAGAACCUGGAGCCCGCUUUGCUAGGAACUGACUUUCACCUCUGGACCCCGUCUUACUGCCCGGCACAGCCUGGGGCAGGGACGGGGAAGCAGCGCCCGCAGACAGCUCUGCUCUGUGGGGCCCAGGCUUGCUGGCUGGUCUCAUCCUCUGGGUGA
rnacentral:lncRNA from 12 species